rnacentral:lncRNA from 1 species
GUCUAACGGCCUGCUUCUUUCCCAAGCACUUCCUGUGGAUCAAGGCCAGUGCUAGCCUGGCUGACAGUGAUGCACCUGGACGGCAGCACUUCAUACAGUAGAGACCAUGCCCACCUACAGGAAUAAGUAAUUCAUGAAUGAAAUCCUCACUAAUCUUUAAAGAAACUCAAAGCACUGACAACGCAAUGAGAAGUGGAAAAGCAUACCAGGCAAUAAAAUACAACAUGAGAGAUCAAUGAAGGUAUGCAUCCCAGUGUUACUCAUGAAAAGAUUGGAAGUUCAAUAGUCAAGACCAUCAGUGGGACUAGCUGGCCAGAAUACACUUUACACCAGCCUAGAUUCUACUCCAGUGUAAUGUUGAAUAGAGGUAGUGAGAGGACACAUCCCUGG